rnacentral:rRNA from 1 species
GAGUUUGAUCCUGGCUCAGAGCGAACGCUGGCGGCAUGCUUAACACAUGCAAGUCGCACGGUCAGCAAUGGCAGUGGCGGACGGGGUGAGUAACACGUAGGAAUCUAUCUCUGGGUGGGGGACAACAGUGGGAAACUACUGCUAAUACCGCAUGAUACCUGAGGGUCAAAGGCGUAAGUCGCCUGGAGAGGAGCCUGCGUCUGAUUAGCUUGUUGGUGGGGUAAAGGCCUACCAAGGCUACGAUCAGUAGCUGGUCUGAGAGGAUGAUCAGCCACAUUGGGACUGAGACACGGCCUAAACUCCUACGGGAGGCAGCAGUGGGGAAUAUUGGACAAUGGGCGAAAGCCUGAUCCAGCAAUGCCGCGUGUGUGAAGAAGGUCUUCGGAUUGUAAAGCACUUUUGGCAGGGACGAUGAUGACGGUACCUGCAGAAUAAGCCCCGGCUAACUUCGUGCCAGCAGCCGCGGUAAC